GGAGGGGUCGCAUAGUCUGGCCGAGUGCGGCGGUCUUGAAAACCGCAGUCCUUCACGGGACCGUGGGUUCGAAUCCCACCCCCUCCGCCA
rnacentral:tRNA from 1 species